ACGGGAGGCAGCAGUCGGGAAUAUUGCGCAAUGGAGGAAACUCUGACGCAGUGACGCCGCGUAUAGGAAGAAGGUUUUUGGAUUGUAAACUAUUGUCGUUAGGGAAGAUAAAAGACUGUACCUAAGGAGGAAGCUCCGGCUAACUACGUGCCAGCAGCCGCGGUAAUACGUAGGGAGCAAGCGUUAUCCGGAUUUAUUGGGUGUAAAGGGUGCGUAGACGGGAAGACAAGUUAGUUGUGAAAUCCCUCGGCUCAACUGAGGAACUGCAACUAAAACUAUCUUUCUUGAGUGUUGGAGAGGAAAGUGGAAUUCCUAGUGUAGCGGUGGAAUGCGUAGAUAUUAGGAGGAAUACCAGUGGCGAAGGCGACUUUCUGGACAAUAACUGACGUUGAGGCACGAAAGUGUGGGGAGCAAACAGGAUUAGAUACCCUGGUA
rnacentral:rRNA from 1 species